rnacentral:rRNA from 1 species
GUCGAGAAUCUUUCACAAUGGGGGCAACCCUGAUGGAGCGACGCCGCGUGGAGGAUAAGGUCUUCGGAUUGUAAACUCCUGUCAUGCGUGAACAAGGUUGCUUGUUAAUACCUGGGCAAAUUGAUGGUAACGCAGGAGGAAGAGACGGCUAACUCUGUGCCAGCAGCCGCGGUAAUACAGAGGUCUCAAGCGUUGUUCGGAAUCACUGGGCGUAAAGGGUGCGUAGGUGGCGUGGUAAGUCAGAUGUGAAAGCCCGGGGCUCAACCUCGGAACUGCAUCCGAUACUGCCAUGCUAGAGUACUGGAGAGGUGACUAGAAUUCUCAGUGUAGCAGUGAAAUGCGUAGAUAUCGAGAGGAAUACCAAAGGCGUAGGCAGGUCACUGGACAGUUACUGACACUGAGGCACGAAGGCCAGGGGAGCGAACGGGAUUAGAUACCCUUGUAGUCC